AGGCUAGACUACACAAUGAGAGGCUGUCUCAUAAAAACAAACAGCAACAACAGAGACACUAUGAUUUCUUUCUUACUUAAGGGUCUGAGUACUUAGUGUGGGAGUUUGUUAUACCUGUCUUCUCUUUCUGGGCUCCAGGAUCUAAAAUGACUGAUGGAAAAGACUUUGUUCUCAGUAAAACAGGAACAAGAGACUAAUUCCUACAAAUAAAUGUAGCAUCUGCUCCUUAGACAUGGUGCACCUUUCAAGGGUUCACAGCAAAGCACCUCAGAUGGCCAAGCCUCAUAUUCGGUAGGGGCACUACUCCCCUACAGGAAGGCACGCCUGGAUUAGACUGUUACAGAGGAGGGACAUACAACUAGGAACAAGAAUAAAGUCUACCACAGUUGUAAAAUAUCUUCUGAAACUCUGAGGUAAAGAGUUAAAACAGAUGCUAGAUCAGCAAUUGUGAAUCAUCACCGUGACUUAAGACCUCUACACCGCCAAAGAAAACCUGAACUACGAUUCCCAGAAUCCCCUAUGCUCCGAGAGUCCCUGUUAAAAUCUACUAGCAAGCCCAUCAUCUCCUGGAAGCAGUUACAGUCUAUUAGACAUACAGAUGUGCAGAUACGCGACUCACUGCAGAUUCUCAGUGAGCUCUGGAGGAGAGUGGCAAGAUUGUUUAAGAUCUUAGCAUCUCAAGAGCUUUUCCGCGAGCUCCUGAGAGCCAUCUAUCUCAGUGGUUUUUAGCACCUUCUGCUGUGACUUUCUCAACUUAGUAAGACCUUGCCUCAAAAUUAAAACAGAGCUGGAAAGAGAAGCAGGAGGAUCUUUGUGUGGAAGCAGUUGCUCUGCCAGAUGCUCCUGCCAUAAGGCCCUGCCCUUACAACAGGUGUGGCACCUCCAGGACUGUGAGCCAAGGGGGGAAAAAAAAUCUCUACACUUCAGUAUCACUAGUGACAACUGUGAUACUGUGUCUGAAUUAAGCAGAACUGACAGCUUUGGCUGUGGGCCAGAAGAACCACAACUCUAUCUCUGGAAUACAAAACCCAGCUAGCCAAUAGCUGUAUAGUUUCCUGACUCGAUUAACUUCUGGGCGCUGUUACAAAUUACUGGGAACUGGGUGACCUUAAAACAACACGAAUGGGACUGAGAACGCUCGGCUCAGUGGGAGAGCAGUUUUCUUGCCUCCCAAGGUCCUCAGCUUAAUCUCCACCUCCACUAACCAUGCCUGAGAUGAAGGUCUCACGCACUGCGCUCCUUCCAGAGGCUCUAACCAGGGUGCUCCCGGCCUCUCCCAGCUUCCAGGAGUCUGCGUCUGCGGCACAUCAGUCCAGCCUUUGCCUCUGUGGUCACAAUGCCCCUUCCUCUCCAAUUAUCUUCAGCUUUGCUUUCAUAAGGAUCCGUGCGGUUGCAUUUAAGGCCCACCUGGAUAAACUCCUCUCAAAAAAAUCCUGAACUUGAUUGUUUGUCAAUGUUUUGCUAUACAAGAUAAUGUUCACAGUUUCUGG